rnacentral:rRNA from 1 species
AGUCGAACGGCAGCACGGGGCAACCUGGUGGCGAGUGGCGAACGGGUGAGUAAUAUAUCGGAACGUACCCUGGAGUGGGGGAUAACGUAGCGAAAGUUACGCUAAUACCGCAUACGAUCUAAGGAUGAAAGUGGGGGAUUCGCAAGAACCUCAUGCUCCUGGAGCGGCCGAUAUCUGAUUAGCUAGUUGGUGGGGUAAAGGCUCACCAAGGCUUCGAUCAGUAGCUGGUCUGAGAGGACGACCAGCCACACUGGAACUGAGACACGGUCCAGACUCCUACGGGAGGCAGCAGUGGGGAAUUUUGGACAAUGGGCGCAAGCCUGAUCCAGCAAUGCCGCGUGAGUGAAGAAGGCCUUCGGGUUGUAAAGCUCUUUUGUCAGGGAAGAAACGGUGAGGGCUAAUAUCCCUUGCUAAUGACGGUACCUGAAGAAUAAGCACCGGCUAACUACGUGCCAGCAGCCGCGGUAAUACGUAGGGUGCAAGCGUUAAUCGGAAUUACUGGGCGUAAAGCGUGCGCAGGCGGUUUUGUAAGUUUGUCGUGAAAGCCCCGGGCUCAACCUGGGAAUUGCGAUGAAGACUGCAAGGCUUGAAUCUGGCAGAGGGGGGUAGAAUUCCACGUGUAGCAGUGAAAUGCGUAGAGAUGUGGAGGAACACCGAUGGCGAAGGCAGCCCCCUGGGUCAAGAUUGACGCUCAUGCACGAAAGCGUGGGGAGCAAACAGGAUUAGAUACCCUGGUAGUCCACGCCCUAAACGAUGUCUACUAGUUGUCGGGUUUUAAUUAACUUGGUAACGCAGCUAACGCGUGAAGUAGACCGCCUGGGGAGUACGGUCGCAAGAUUAAAACUCAAAGGAAUUGAC